UACGGAGGGUGCAAGCGUUAUCCGGAUUCACUGGGUUUAAAGGGUGCGUAGGUGGGUCUGUAAGUCAGUGGUGACAUCUCCGAGCUUAACUCGGAAACUGCCAUUGAUACUAUAGGUCUUGAAUUAUCUGGAGGUGAGCGGAAUAUGUCGUGUAGCGGUGAAAUGCUUAGAUAUGACAUAGAACACCAAUUGCGAAGGCAGCUCACUACGGAUAUAUUGACACUGAGGCACGAAAGCGUGGGGAUCAAACAGG
rnacentral:rRNA from 1 species